rnacentral:lncRNA from 1 species
GUCAAACGACAUGGUGCAGGCUCGGGCUGGGGAGCGGGCCUGCGGCUGCCCAGCUGCUAAAGGACUUCCUACUCGUGCACCGCCGCCGGCUCCAGGGCAAACCCCACGCCAUUUAGAAAUGCUGGAAGUUUCUGUCUCUCCCUCCCCCUGCUCGGAGGCCAUUCCCCCCACCCCCAGAGCCCCACCUCCUCCUUCACUGGGCCCUUUCUAACUCCUUCCCCUUAAAACCCUUUUCAAAAUGGGGUUGACUGGAGGCGGAGGUUGCAGUGAGCCGAGAUCGCCCCACUGCACUCCAGCCUGGUGACUCCGUCUCAAAAAAAAGGGGAGGGGGGCGGGGGAGAGUUGAAAGCUUAAUAUGUACUUUGGGGGCUAUUAAAGCAAACAUUUCGACUAAA